UACGAAGGGGGCUAGCGUUGCUCGGAAUCACUGGGCGUAAAGGGUGCGUAGGCGGGUCUUUUAAGUCAGGGGUGAAAUGCCAAGGCUCAACCUUGGAACUGCCUUUGAUACUGGCAAUCUCGAGUCCGGGAGAGGUGAGUGGAACUGCGAGUGUAGAGGUGAAAUUCGUAGAUAUUCGCAAGAACACCAGUGGCGAAGGCGGCUCACUGGCCCGGUACUGACGCUGAGGUGCGAAAGCGUGGGGAGCAAACAGG
rnacentral:rRNA from 1 species